rnacentral:tRNA from 1 species
GCGGGUAUAGCUCAGUUGGUUAGAGCGCGUGGUCGACAUCCACGAGGCCCGCCGUUCGAGUCGGCGUACCCGCACCA